GAUAGGAAUGUUUUACUACUCAUCAGAGCAGAUUUCUCCGUCUGAGGGAAGUUGGCAGGAUUCCACAUUUGUAUUCUCCAGGGUCAAGGCUCCUCCUCUCCCUGAAUAUCUUUGUUAAGGGAUCAAGGGGAAAGUGAGAAUGUGGGGGAGGUAUUAGGAGAAAGGGAGGUGAAGGCCUCCUCUCUCAAACUUAAAAGGAUUUUUGGAAAACACCACAUACAAGUUCACUUUAAACCCACCAACACAGAGAGACUCGUCCACCCUAAAGGCCAGGCACCAAAACCAAAAAGAGGUGUAAUGUAAUUUAAGUGGUCCAGUGUAACGAAGAGUGCUCAGAGCUCAUUAGAGCACUACAUUGGAGAGACUGAACAACAACUACAUAGGAGGAUGUACCAACACAGAAGAAGCAACACCUCAGGACCAGAAUCAGCUGUGUACCUGAAUCUGAAGGACAAAGGACACAAAUUUGAGGACGAAAAGGUACAUAUCUUGGACAGAAAAGACAGAUAGUUUGAGAGAGGAGUGAAAGAGGCCAUCUAUGUCCAAGUGGAAAAUCUUUCUCUUGAAGUGGAAGUCUUUGGCACAACCUGUCUCCUAUUUUUUAUGCAGCUCUUUCAUCUGUCCUCAAGAAAAUCAAGACUUCUUCACACACCCACCAGGAAAGCCACACCUAAGGACUCCCCCCUCACAUUCGCUGAUUGUUACCCCUAAUACUUCAAUACACUCUCCCUUUACUCUCCUUCUCUAGGGUCAUUACUUCCUAAUGACUCCUCUUACUCCUAACACCUUCUCACCUUCCCCUUGUUCCCUUAACAAGGCAGGGAAGGGAGGAUCCUUGACCCUGAAGGAUACAAAUUCGUGGAAUCCGGCCAACUUCCCUCAGAUGAGUAGUGAAACCUUUUGAUCUGACUUGAACAAAGUCCAGUAGACAUGACUCAAAUUCCACAUAACCAUAUCGGAAUGACUGAGAAUCUUCACAGACUCAUUUCAUUUAAGGUUAUUGUGUUUAAUUUCAUGUCUGGACAGUGAUCUUGGAACACGAUCUAAAAUUAUUGCACAUGACAUUUAUUUAAAAAAUGUAAAGAGUGAGUAAGGUAGGUUACAUAGUAAAUGGCCUUUAUCUUUUAUCAGUAAAUGAAGAGUCACCCCAGCAGUUGAUAUCUGCCUCCUAAUUCCACUGAAAAAAUGCAAUGUGGAGCACACCAGUUACAUUUUAACUCUUUUAACCAGUACAACUUUCUGGCUGUGAGUCUGAUAUAAAAUGAACACAUUGGAGCUCUUCUGUGGGUGCUUUCACUCUGAUUUGGAUUUUUGGCUUCGACUUUAAGAGAUAAAUGAUCGCAUGGCAUCAAAAGCACAUCCCCUGUAAUUCGGAGUACAACAACAUGCACUUGUUCCUCCCAAUAUUUCAGAAGUUUACCUGGUCUUUCCUUCGGGGUCAGGUUCCCCACGAGGACUCAGCUUCCUGCUCCAAGGGGUUUUGCUGAUGCUAUACAGAUCUCUGCGCAUGUUGGUAGGCUCUGACAAGCUACAGCAAAGGACCGUGGUAUAUCUGAUGGAGACUGGCUUCUUCCGUCUGUAUCAUGGCUUCUUUGGAAUUUUACAAAAACUACUCUGUGUACUCUGGUAUACUUUUUUAUGAGACUGUUGUAAUAACUGUAAGUGUUGAGACUGCUGGAUAAUGCAUCAGAAUAAAUGUUUUUCUUUUCUGGGUACCAGAUAGUGAAGUUAAAAUCAACAAGCCCACAGUUCUUGAUUUGAUGCAUCUGUGUGCAGUACAAAUGAUUUUGUAAAGUUUGGGGACCCCAGCACUGGUGGAUUGGUGGGACAAUCCAGUGUUUUGCUUCGUCCACUUAGUCAACUGACUAAGUGGAACUACAUGACUUUUUUAGGUAAGUAUCUUUUUUCCCUCUACCUCUUGUUUGUGGUUUUAUAUUAUUACUACCAUUCUUCAGCAAGGCAUAUAGGGGGCAGAAGUUCUUGGUGUAAGAGCGAUAGUAACUCAACUUCUAGAUCUUCCUUGGCUCACCUACUGUGGUGGGUCUCUUGUCCUUCAGUGCUGUCACUGCUAUGGUGUGUGAAGGAUCCAUAUGGUUACUUUCUUUAGAAACUAUCCUUCCCAAGUAGCGGGCCGCUUCCUUAAACAAUUCACAUUUCUUUGGCUUCAGUUUCACUCCUUGUUUCACUCCGGGGGAUGUGGUAGCUUAGUGGUUAAGGUGUUGGACUUCUGAUUGGAAAGUUGUGGUAGGUUGUGAGUGUGAAUCAAGACCCUUAACCCUCAGUUGUGUAAAAUGUGUUAAAAAUUUAAGUCGCUCUGGAUAAGGGUCUCUGCUAAAUGCUGUAAAAGUAAAUGUGACUGCAAGCAUUGUAAAAUUGUCUUUAUUGGUUCAAAUUGCUCAUCAAAGGAUUUUGUGAAGACUAAUAUGUCAUCCAGGUAAGGUACACAAAUGUCAUCUCGUAGUCUUUCCAAGCAUCCAUCCAUGAAUUCCAGGAAUGUGGCAGGUGCAUUCAUGAACCCAAAGGGGAUACGAAUCCAUUCAUAUAAGCCCUAUAUCCUAUUCAUUUAGUAUAUGGUGUACUAAAGGCUGUCAAUGGUCUGCUUUCUGGUGUCAUAAAACUUUGAUGGAACAUCUUCCCUUGGUCUAGCACAGAGAACCUGGUAACACUGAUUUUACUGUUUGUUUUGUCCCAUGUUCAGUUUUUCCCACCAGCACAAUGCCAUUGUCACUUUGUCAUGCCAUUUUGGACACAGAUCUGAAUCACAGGUCAGCUCCCUUUUUUCAGAGUCAAGAGUGUUUCCCGGGAUUCCAGACCAUCAGGGUACUGUGGUACUGGUUUAAACACUAUCCUGAUUCAGAUACAGAUGAUGGCUAGCACCAGAUAAACUGAUUACUUUUUGCUAUUUAUCCAAAGAUCGUCAAACAUAUUUGAGGUGUACAAAUUAGUAACAGGAAGAGCUAAUCAUCUUAGGGCAGUGGAUACUCCCAUGUCAGUGAUUGCUGUUCCUCUUCUUGCUCUUUUGUAUGUUUGAUACACUGUAUUCUGUCACUACAUGCAUUUUAGAGUACAUGUUUCGUGACACAUAGUGCUAAUAAUUAAGUGAUGAAUAAACUUCUUGAUUUAAAUGUACCUCAUGUUUCCAUACUUCAUGCAAUUUCAUUUGGUACCUCAUAUAUCAAAUGUGUUUGUAUAUAUUAUAUUGGCAAUUUCUCAAAUGUUUGAUGAUUUUGUUUCUCUUUCUUGAGAAAUCAGACAAUAUUAUAUGAAAUGUAAUAGUGUUCUGCCUCCCAGUUAUACUACCCCAAGAGGCCACACCCACCCCACUAUGAACCCCAAGGAGAUCAGGAAAUUCUGAGAGCACAUAUCUCACAUUCAUUCUUAACCCUUACAUGCACACACACACACACACACAAACAUACACACACAAACAUGGAAAACGACUUUAAGAUGGAAGAAGACGUGACUGUGCCUCCCGCUGUAUCCAGGGAACGCACAUACCUGGCUUGGUCCAUCUUUAACACAAUAUUCUGCUGUACUUCUAUUGGAAUCAUCACAAUUGUGUUCUCCUUGCAGGUAAGUCAUUCAAUAUCAUUAUUUCAGAACAGUAAAAGGAAGGAAAUUAACAUAACCUUUUCCAUUAUAGACUGAGACGGCUAAUCUCAUUGGAAAUUCUGCAAGAGCUAAAGCGCGUUCCAGGCUGGUCAAGAAACUGAACAUCGCCUCGUCUGUCAUUGGAAUUGUUUUUAUCAUCCUUGUUAUCAUCAUUGUUGUGAAAAUGCCUCAAUUCUUUAAACCAUUUUUGCCAUUAGACCAACUGAAACGACCCCAUUAAGGUCACGAAAGUGUUCUUGUAAUUGAAAUCACUCUACAUGCUUGUCUAUAAUCUCACAGGUUUUUGCUAUUUUUAUUCCAUUUUAUUCCAUUUUUUCCACUUUUUUUUAUUGUAUUAAGUUAAAUCUCAUAAUCAUUCAACCACUGUUACUAUAUUAUUAUUUCUGUAUGUGAAUAUUUUGUUAUUCUUUUUUUUUUCUUUAAAUACAUUGUUUAUAUAAAUGAAUACAUAAUAUUCCAAAUAAAUUUUGUUUGUAUGUA